GAGGCCUGCCUGCCCAGUGACAAACGUUCAACGGCCGCGGUAUCCUGACCGUGCAAAGGUAGCAUAAUCACUUGUUCCUUAAUUGGGGACUGGAAUGAAUGGCCUCACGAGGAUUCAACUGUCUCUUACCUCUAAUCAGUGAAAUUGACCUCCCCGUGAAGAGGCGGGGAUACAACAACAAGACGAGAAGACCCUAUGGAGCUUUAAUUUUCUGUCUUAACUACUAAAUAAUUUACCCUACUGGGAUAAAAAAAGAGAAGUAAGUCAGUAAUUUCGGUUGGGGUGACCUCGGAGAAUAAGACAACCUCCGAAUGAUUUUAACCAAGACAAACAAGUCAAAGUAUUAAAAAUCAAAUUGACCCAAUUCAUUUGAUCAACGGACCAAGUUACCCUAGGGAUAACAGCGCAAUCCUAUUCAAGAGUCCAUAUCGACAAUUAGGGUUUACGACCUCGAUGUUGGAUCAGGACAUCCCAAUGGUGCAGCAGCUAUUAAUGGUUCGUUUGUUCAACGAUUAAAGUCCUACGUGAUCUG
rnacentral:rRNA from 1 species